UACGUAGGGUGCGAGCGUUGUCCGGAUUUAUUGGGCGUAAAGAGCUUGUAGGCGGCUCGUCACGUCGGGUGUGAAAACUCGCGGCUCAACCGCGAGCCUGCACCCGAUACGGGCGGGCUGGAGUUCGGCAGGGGAGAGCUGGAAUUCCUGGUGUAGCGGUGGAAUGCGCAGAUAUCAGGAGGAACACCGGUGGCGAAGGCGGGUCUCUGGGCCGAUGACUGACGCUGAGAAGCGAAGCGUGGGGAGCGAACAGG
rnacentral:rRNA from 1 species